GUCCCUGACCCAAUGGUGGAGAUGGGUAGGCAGAUCAAAUUAAAUCUUGAAGCAGUAGUCAUUGAGAAUAUCUACUGACUACUUUUCUAAUGAUUCCUGGCUCACCGUGGUAAUUUAUUAUUAUAAUUUUUAUAUGUGUAUUAUCUGAUAAAUUCAGAAUAUGCUGGUUAUCAAACUGAAUAUCCCUGUGUUUACAGUAUUUCCCAUUAUAAACUAAUAGUUGGGCAUUCUGUUUUAUAUGUUGUCUUGUAACUGCAGUUUGAAUUAACCUCCCCAAUCCAGUACUGCUAGAACACUGAUCAAGUACUAAAUAGUAUCUACACAAAAGGAAGCAAAUAUUAUGUCUGUGUGGAAGGACACAUGGGUGACAUCCAUUUGUAAUCAAUAAAACAACUAGGUAGUGAUACAGAAUAUGCCUAUUUUUCCUAUUUCUACUCUUUAUUAAAAUUUCCCUUAUGGCAAUGGUUUUUAGACUUUAAUUUAUAACAUAAUAACCUAAGGAAAUUGUUAAAAUUACAAAUUCCUAAAUUUCAUCCACUGCCAGAGAUUUUUGAUACACGUAAUCCAGGAUGGAACAUAGGAAUCUGCAUUAAAAAAAAAUCCUAUAUGAUUCUGAUCUUGAAGGUUAGUGGACUAUACCUUAGCACCACUGUUCUACAGAGAAUUUUACUCUCUCUAAAUAAGCCUGUGGUGCUUAAAGCAUUCUUCACUACUGGGCAAAAUUUCAUUGGUUUCUAUUAGGUUUAUGUUAAUUGGCUAAAUCAAUAACAUCGGAGCUAGUUCCAGGCUUCUGAUUGGUCAGAACUGUGUAUGCAAAUUACAGCAAGCAUUGAGGAAGUAGAAGAUAACAGCUUUAUGGGGAUAACUGAUUUGGGGUGGGGCUACGUGAAGACAAAAUGGCUGCCAGCUUCACGGUGCCAUAUGCUCCAAGGUGCAAAACAGAAAAUAAAAUCCGUUGAGGAGGCCUUUGCUGUUCAGGAACAGAAUCAAAUAAAAUGGGGCCUGCUUGAUAUAUCAGCAGGUGAAGAACCAAAGAAGGGUUUAUCUUUAUUCUUCUUAGCAUUGAGAGUCUUC
rnacentral:lncRNA from 12 species